GCUCCAUGAUUCAGCGGCGGACGGGUGAGUAAUGCCUAGGAAUCUGCCUGGUAGUGGGGGACAACGUUUCGAAAGGAACGCUAAUACCGCAUACGUCCUACGGGAGAAAGUGGGGGAUCUUCGGACCUCACGCUAUCAGAUGAGCCUAGGUCGGAUUAGCUAGUUGGUGAGGUAAAGGCUCACCAAGGCGACGAUCCGUAACUGGUCUGAGAGGAUGAUCAGUCACACUGGAACUGAGACACGGUCCAGACUCCUACGGGAGGCAGCAGUGGGGAAUAUUGGACAAUGGGCGAAAGCCUGAUCCAGCCAUGCCGCGUGUGUGAAGAAGGUCUUCGGAUUGUAAAGCACUUUAAGUUGGGAGGAAGGGCAGUAAGUUAAUACCUUGCUGUUUUGACGUUACCAACAGAAUAAGCACCGGCUAACUUCGUGCCAGCAGCCGCGGUAAUACGAAGGGUGCAAGCGUUAAUCGGAAUUACUGGGCGUAAAGCGCGCGUAGGUGGUUCGUUAAGUUGGAUGUGAAAGCCCCGGGCUCAACCUGGGAACUGCAUCCAAAACUGGCGAGCUAGAGUAUGGCAGAGGGUGGUGGAAUUUCCUGUGUAGCGGUGAAAUGCGUAGAUAUAGGAAGGAACACCAGUGGCGAAGGCGACCAGCUGGGCUAAUACUGACACUGAGGUGCGAGAGC
rnacentral:rRNA from 1 species